rnacentral:rRNA from 1 species
UGGGGGAUAUUGCACAAUGGGCGAAAGCCUGAUGCAGCGACGCCGCGUGGGGGAUGAAGGCUUUCGGGUUGUAAACCUCUUUCGCUAUCGAACAAGGCCCGCUUAGGGUGGGUUGAGGGUAGGUGGAGAAGAAGCGCCGGCUAACUACGUGCCAGCAGCCGCGGUAAUACGUAGGGCGCGAGCGUUGUCCGGAAUUAUUGGGCGUAAAGGGCUUGUAGGCGGCUUGUUGCGCCUGCUGUGAAAACGGGGGGCUUAACUUCGCGCGUGCAGUGGGUACGGGCAGGCUUGAGUGUGGUAGGGGUGACUGGAAUUCCAGGUGUAGCGGUGGAAUGCGCAGAUAUCUGGAGGAACACCGAUGGCGAAGGCAGGUCACUGGGCCAUUACUGACGCUGAGGAGCGAAAGCAUGGGUAGCGAACAGG